rnacentral:tRNA from 1 species
GGGGGUGUAGCUCAGUGGUAGAGCGCGGGCUUAGCAUGCACGAGGCCCUGGGUUUAAUCCCCAGCACCUCCA